AAGGAGAGACCCACGUGGCAAGGAACUGAGGCCUCCUCCCUACAGCCACUUGAGUGAGUCAUCUCAGAAGUGGAUUUCCAGCUCUAGUCAAGCUUCAAAAGACUACAGCCCUGCAGCCCCAGAUAGCAUUUUAAUGACAAUCUCAUGAGAGAUCCUGAGCCAGAACCACCGACCUAGGCUACUCCCAAAUUCUUGACCUGCAGAAACUAUGUGAGGCCUUGAACAUUCUGUGGGCCAUUACAAAGCUCGCGUCCUCUGUGCCCGUGGAGCUUCGUGAUUCAAACGGCCGUGACCUGACCUGUCUGUCUGGCCAGGCUCACUGGCAAUGUGGUCUCUCACUGUUGUGGCCUC